rnacentral:rRNA from 1 species
UACGUAGGGUGCAAGCGUUUAAUCGGAAUUACUGGGCGUAAAGCGUGCGCAGGCGGUUGUGCAAGACAGAUGUGAAAUCCCCGGGCUCAACCUGGGAAUUGCAUUUGUGACUGCACGGCUAGAGUGUGUCAGAGGGGGGGUAGAAUUCCACGUGUAGCAGUGAAAUGCGUAGAGAUGUGGAGGAAUACCGAUGGCGAAGGCAGCCCCCCUGGGAUAACACUGACGCUCAUGCACGAAAAGCGUGGGGGAGCAAACAGGGAUU